GUGCUCACUUCAGCAGCAUACAUACUAAAAUUGGAAUGAUGCAGAGAAAAUUAACAUGGCCCCUGCACAAGGAUGACCUGCAAAUUCUUGAAGCAUUCCAUAUUUAG
ensembl:snRNA U6 U6 spliceosomal RNA